rnacentral:rRNA from 1 species
AUUGAACGCUGGCGGAAUGCUUUACACAUGCAAGUCGAACGGUAGAGGGGGCAACCCCUUGAGAGUGGCGAACGGGUGAGUAAUAUAUCGGAACGUGCCCAGUCGUGGGGGAUAACGUAGCGAAAGUUACGCUAAUACCGCAUACGAUCUACGGAUGAAAGCGGGGGAUCGCAAGACCUCGCGCGAAUGGAGCGGCCGAUAUCGGAUUAGGUAGUUGGUGGGGUAAAGGCUCACCAAGCCAACGAUCUGUAGCUGGUCUGAGAGGACGACCAGCCACACUGGAACUGAGACACGGUCCAGACUCCUACGGGAGGCAGCAGUGGGGAAUUUUGGACAAUGGGCGCAAGCCUGAUCCAGCCAUUCCGCGUGCAGGAUGAAGGCCUUCGGGUUGUAAACUGCUUUUGUACGGAACGAAACGGUCGGCUCUAAUACGGCGGGCUAAUGACGGUACCGUAAGAAUAAGCACCGGCUAACUACGUG